GAACAUUUCAUAUCCUCUCUGCAAAGGUCGGCCGUCGGCACCUGGGGCCGGGAAGGCAGCUGGCUGACCUGCGGCCACAGAGGGAGCUCUUUUGGCGGCCGCAGGGGGAGCUGGCUGUUCUGUCUUUGCUCCCCCUCCCCAGCGUGCCGCUUAAUGAGACCGGGGAACAUGACGUCAUAUUGUGGUCCCUGUCUCAUUAAGCAGCAUGCUGGGACGGGGGAGCAGAGACAGAACAGCCAGCUCCCCCCAUGUGGCCGCCAUCAGAGCUCCCCAUGCGGCCACCAGCACACAGGUAGCAAUUAUGUGUGUCAGUGUGAGUGUAUGUGUGUGUGUCUGUGUCAUUUGUGUGUGUGUCUGUCUGUGUCAUGGUGUGUGUGUGUCUCUGUCUGUGUCAUGGUGUGUGUGUGUCUGUCUGUGUCAUAAAAUGUGUGUCUGUGUCAUUGUGUGUCUCUGUCUGUGUCAUGGUGUGUGUGUGUGUCUGUCUGUCUGUGUCAUGCAAUGUGUGUCUGUGUCAUUGUGUGUGUCUGUCUGUGUCAUGGUGUGUGUGUGUGUCAUGGUGUGUGUGUGUGUGUCUGUGUCAUGCAAUGUGUGUCUGUGUCAUUGUGUGUGUCUGUCUGUGUCAUGGUGUGUGUGUGUCUCUUCUGUCAUGGUGUGUGCGUCUGUGUCAUGGUGUGUGUGUGUGUGUGUCUGUCUGUGUCAUGCAAUGUGUGUCUGUGUCAUUGUGUGUGUCUGUCUGUGUCAUGGUGUGUGUGUGUGUGUGUCAUGGUGUGUGUGUGUGUGUCAUGGUGUGUGUGUGUGUGUCUGUAUAAUUAAAAAUUUUACUCUGAAAGGACCAAUAUAUAUAUAUAUAUAUAUCAUCAAGGGAUGCAAGACAUAGCCUUACAUAUUACAUGCGACAAUAUAUGGCGCAAUGACUUAUGGGGCUGGCAUAGAUUUUUUUCCAGGGCUGCUUUGGAAUCCCCAGUCCGGCCCUGGUGGAUACUGUCUCCUAGCAUUUGCUUGUCCACUUCUCUCCUUACCUUUUUGCUAGCUGUCAGAAGCUCUGGUAUGCAGUCUGGGACAAAGAAAAUGUGGAAAGGGGACAUGCCCCAGUGUUAAAGAGACCAAAACAGCAAGAGCUACCUUAACUAAUUUCAUUGUCAGCCAGUACACACAAGCUUUCUUCCCCUACACCCUCUUCCAUACUUAAUUUCCUCUGCACAAAGCAAGAGCAGUUUAAGAGUAUUUUUUUUUUUUUAUUAAUGGGCCUAGCCCUAUUCCAUGGACAUGGACACGGGCAUGGAGCUCGGCCACAUCAGUCCCUAAAAUAAUCUGGGCUUGGCAAAAGUAAAACAUGGGCAUUAUAUAUGUCGAUUCAGUCAGAGAAUUCAACCUUGCUACUCUCUUUACUUUAACCCCUUAAGGACGGAGCCAAAUGUACAUGUUGUGAACGAAACAAAAUGUAAACAAAACCUGGCAUUUGCGCUACAUGUCUGUCCAACCGUAAUUCACCUCUUUCAUAUUAAAUACACCUACCCUUAUUAUAUAUAAUUUUAUUCAGGGGAAACAGGGCUUUCAUUUAAUAUCAAAGAUUUAGCUAUGAAACAUAAUUUAAUAUGAAAAAAUGGGAGAAAAUAAGAUUUUAUUUUAUUUUUUUUAGUUCUACAUGACAUUUUAACGGUCAAUGUCAUAAUACUGUUUGCUUUUACUGCAAUAAAAUACACAUAUUUGUAUUCAGCAAAGUCUCACGUGUAAAACAGUACCCCCUAUGUACAGGUUUUAUGGAGUUUUGGGAAGUUACAGGGUCAAAUAUAGCACCUUACAUUUGAAAUUGAAAUCACCAGAUUGGUUACGUUGCCUUUGGGACUUUAUAGUAGCCCAGGAAAGAAAUUUACAUCCAUAAUGGCAUAUCAUUUGCAAUAGUAGACAACCCAAUGUAUUGCAAAUGGGGUAUUUCCAGUCUUUUUUAGUAGCCAUUUGGUCACAAACACUGGCCAAAGUUAGUGUUAGUAUUUGUUUGUGUGUGAAAAAUGCAAUAAACUCCAAUUUUGGCCAGUGUUUGUGACUAAGUGGC